UUAGAUGACCUACAAGGUCCCUUCCAACCUGUUGUUCUAUUCUAUUCUGAUUUAAGGCAGAAUAUGCUUCCUUUUUCACCAUUGGGGAAAAGGCAAUCAAAGCUGGAUGGCUGUAGCCCUUAAAAAACUCCUCUUGAAAUGUGGGAACCAGACAUUCAUUUCGAUAACAACAAUUCCUAAGUAUACAUAGGAUUUAACCUAGUCUCUAUAACCAUGUUCAGGCUCCAGUAACACUUAGUCCUUCUAGUCCUGAAGACAACCAACUUGGCCUUGGACUUACUAACAUUAAUAUAUUUAGAAACACAAUAUGAACUGAACUUAUGCAGUAAUCUUAUUAUCCCUACCUAAGAGUGCAACAUUAAUAUUAUAUACUUUCCUAAAAUGGGAUAAUUACAGAUUUAUUUUUAACUUUGGACAUCUAGAUCUGCCAGAUAUAUAGUCUGAACUAUACAUUUUGCAACUGGCUUUCUUCAAAUUAACAGCUUUUCUAGUAUCUGUAAUAAAACUUAAAAAUUUUAUGAACAGCAAGACUCUGAGUCUUUUAGUUCAAGUAUAUUCUGGUUGAAGGCUGACAUUUGAGACACCUCUGGGAAAAGUUAAGUAUAGAUGUUUGUUUUACCCCAUCUGUGCCAGAACAAACAUCCAGCUUUGAUUGCUUCUUUUCCUAUAGUGAAACUCCAAAAGGAAGCAUAUUCUGCUCUAAAUCAUCCUCCAGGCUGCUAAUUACUACAGGGAGCCACUGAAGAAAAUGAACAAGAGAAUGUUUCUGGAGCUAUGCCUAUAAUUUAUAAUGAACUUACAGGUUAUGCUGAGUUUCUUCAGAAAUGACACAACCAAUAUUAACAGUUCAAAGUUAUCUCGGUCGAGCGCUUUCACCAACAUAUGGACAAUAUUCUUGUUCCUCAUCUUCAAUUCAGUUCGUGUGUCCUCAGCAAGAUUUAG